CCCGGAUACACCAACUGGGAUGAAGAUCAGCCCGACAACUAUUUGCACUCCAAGAAUGAAGAUGCAGCCGAGAACUGCGUCGAGAUAAGGCCUCCGUUUGGCUACAGGUGGAAUGACCAAAUGUGUCAUAUUAAAAAACAGUUCGUGUGCCAGAAGCCUCCUAGUAAGACCUGUGUCCUUCCCACGAGCCUGUCAGCCAGUCAGAAACACUGAAGCCGCACCAUCGGCCGCGUCUAAUACAGCAAUGAUAGAAGAAGAACUGUAACGGGGCUAUUCACCGACAGCCUUUAUUUGAUUAUUUUUCAGUAUCUUUAAGCAGUAACACACCUGGAUUCCUCGAGAUUCCACUGAUACUGUAACAACACUUGGUGUCAUAUAUUACAUGUUAACUGUGCCUAGUUUCACUGAUACUAACUAGCGUCAUCAAUGUUGAUUAUUUUUUCCGUUGUUGAUUGGCUGGUGGAAAAGAUUUCCCU